AUGCACGCUGGCGGCGUGCCUAAUACAUGCAAGUCGAGCGAACAGACGAGGAGCUUGCUCCUCUGACGUUAGCGGCGGACGGGUGAGUAACACGUGGAUAACCUACCUAUAAGACUGGGAUAACUUCGGGAAACCGGAGCUAAUACCGGAUAAUAUAUUGAACCGCAUGGUUCAAUAGUGAAAGACGGUUUUGCUGUCACUUAUAGAUGGAUCCGCGCCGCAUUAGCUAGUUGGUAAGGUAACGGCUUACCAAGGCAACGAUGCGUAGCCGACCUGAGAGGGUGAUCGGCCACACUGGAACUGAGACACGGUCCAGACUCCUACGGGAGGCAGCAGUAGGGAAUCUUCCGCAAUGGGCGAAAGCCUGAUGGGGCAACGCCGCGUGAGUGAUGAAGGUCUUCGGAUCGUAAAACUCUGUUAUUAGGGAAGAACAAAUGUGUAAGUAACUAUGCACGUCUUGACGGUACCUAAUCAGAAAGCCACGGCUAACUACGUG
rnacentral:rRNA from 1 species